UCUAGUUUCACGCAGGUGAGAAACUGCCAGAAAGUUCAGCAGUCUAAUGAACUGAGACGGUGCGAGCUGAGACAUGAGCUGAGAAGUCACCGUGGUAACAGCUCAGAGCGGUUGAGCUAACGGACGCUGGAAUUUUGGAUGGAUUAUAAAAAGCUGAUCGGUUGGUCUGAUAAGGGAGAGGAGACACGACACGGGAGAACUGCGGAAGCUACCCGAGAAACCAGUGGUGGAGUUUAAGACCACCACGAGGGUGGAGGACACGGACCGAUUAAUUUCGACCCGUGGUUACCAGUGCGGGGUCAACUGUUACUACUGUCAAUAAAAACGGCUCUCCUUUGGAUCGGGACUACAGAGCGUUGUGGGAGCUGAAUUCUAAAGGAAGGCAGUUUUUUAAAAAACUUCGAGUGCAAGAAGGGCGAGACUGUGCAGGCACGUGACGUCAACAGGACCGCACGGAGAGUUUAAAAAGGAGACCACCCUACACAGCGGGCAGCUGUCAGAGCGGGCAGCAGAGUGAGUGGUAGCAGAGUGUAGGGCUUUGGCUUCAACGGGCUUCGGCAGUAAACGGGAAGAGGCGAGAGCGAGGCACCAACUCUUUUUUCUCCCCCCCGCCACCCCUUUGGCGAAUCAGCCCGGACAGACAGGAACAGCAGGGCUCUCACAGCCAACGGUACGAGCUAACGGUUUAAAAAGUUCGUCUGUUUGGCGAGGUAAGUGGGGUUAUUUUGAAGACAAUGACCUGGAGUUACACGCUGACUAUGGUUCUUUGCAGGAAUGGGACCCGCUCUCGGGGUUUCAUAACCGGCUGUUGUUGUUUGGCAUGCCAAGGACUCGGCCUAAGAGUUUGGCUCAACUUUGGAGGCCUAGGAUCUCGGGGCUCUGGAGACGGGUGGGUUGAAGGUUGGUGUCAUGGCAGGAGAUCUGUGUGUCGUUGGGGGAGUCGGAAAAUCUAUCCAGAUCUUUGGGCACAGAGCUCAAAAAAAAGCGAUGUAUCAGACUUCUAACAGUGUAAAACAGCGAGUUGUUUGUUAUGUCUCCCUGCUCGCUGUGAAAGCAGAGACAUCUUUUUCUCCCUUAUUAGGGAGAGAGAGAGCCUGGUAUGUCGUAUACCAGGUGAACCUCGAAGUCUUUGGGGUAACUUUAAGUCUGUGUCUUUGCUAUGCUUGGCUCACGCUUGAGUGCUCAGUGGUGGUGCUGAUGCU